GGUCUCAUGGUCUAGUGGUUAGGACAUUGGACUUUGAAUCCAAUAACUUGAGUUCAAAUCUUGGUGGGACCU
rnacentral:tRNA from 1 species